rnacentral:rRNA from 1 species
CGCCAGACUCCUACGGGAGGCAGCAGUCGGGAAUAUUGCGCAAUGGAGGAAACUCUGACGCAGUGACGCCGCGUAUAGGAAGAAGGUUUUCGGAUUGUAAACUAUUGUCGUGAGGGAAGAAAUUGACAGUACCUCAGGAGGAAGCUCCGGCUAACUAUGUGCCAGCAGCCGCGGUAAUACGGAGGAUGCGAGCGUUAUCCGGAUUUAUUGGGUUUAAAGGGUGCGCAGGCGGCGAGUUAAGUCAGCGGUAAAAUCUGGGGGCACAACCCCGGCGAGCCGUUGAAACUGGCUUGCUAGAGUGGGCGAGAAGUAUGCGGAAUGCGUGGUGUAGCGGUGAAAUGCAUAGAUAUCACGCAGAACUCCGAUUGCGAAGGCAGCAUACCGGCGCCCAACUGACGCUCAGGCACGAAAGCGUGGGUAUCGAACAGGAUUAGAUACCCUAGUAC